GAAUACAGUUUCUCUUAAUACCAAAGCAUUCAAGAAGAUGAAUAAACUCAGAUUGCUUCAACUUUCCGGGGUUCAGCUUAAUGGAGAUUUUAAAUACCUUUCAGGAGAACUUAGGUGGCUGUACUGGCACGGAUUUCCAUCAACUUACACUCCUGCAGAAUUUCAGCAAGGAAGUCUUGUUUCCAUCGAAUUAAAAUAUAGUAGUCUAAAACAAAUAUGGAAGAAGAGCCAGGUACAAAUUGUGUUUAAUAUUUUGGUCUUUUUUUUUUUUCUUUCACGAAUCAUAAUUCCCAGAAACGAUAUAUUUGAUUUACAUUAAAUUUAUCGCUUCAUCUCGCUCUUUAAUAAUAAUUCGGUUUUAAAUAUAAGCAAAACUUAAAAUGUAUUUGGGCUAAAUACAUUUUGAGAUUUGCUUAUAUUUAAAACCGGAGGGAUUAUUUGUAGUGAAGUUUUAGGUAAUGCUCUUAUAAUUUGACAAAUUGGUGAUAAGAAUGCCCAAAAGCUGUACUACCUCCAUCAGUUAUUAGAUAUUUAUUUUCGUAAACGGACCCUCAAUCAAUGCUUCCCUUAAACAAGAACACUAAUGUCAUGAUUUUGUUGAAAAUAGUCAUGCUUCCAAAUUCCAAUCUAUUCGUUUUUUCUAAGCUUCUCUCGUGGUUUUAUUUUCUUGCAGUUGCUAGAGAAUCUAAAAAUUCUUAAUCUGAGUCAUUCUUGGGAUUUGAUUGAAACCCCAGACUUUUCAUUCAUGCCUAAUCUUGAAAAGCUAGUACUCAAAGACUGUCCAAGAUUAACUGCGGUCUCCCGUAGCAUUGGAUCUCUGCAUAAACUUCUUCUAAUAAAUUUGACAGACUGCACAAGUCUUCAGAAACUUCCUAGAAGCAUAUAUAAAUUAAAAUCUCUAGAAACUUUGAUUCUUUCUGGAUGUUCCAAGAUUGACAAAUUGGAGGAGGACUUGGAACAGAUGGAAUCAUUGAAAACCUUGAUUGCGGAUAAGACUGCUAUAACAAAAGUGCCGUUUUCAAUAGUAAGAUUAAGAAACAUUGGAUAUAUUUCUCUAUGUGGCUUUGAAGGAUUUUCACGAGAUGUAUUUCCUUUUCUCGUUCGGUCUUGGAUGUCACCAUCAACUAAUGUAACAUCCCUAGUUCAAACAUCUACGUCAAAAUCAUCUCUUGGUACUUUCAAGAACCUUCUAAAGCUUCGAAAUAUUUUUGUAGAGUGUGGCUCAAAACUACAACUAACUGAAGAUGUAGCCAGAAUUUUGGAUGCAUUAAAAGCCACAAUUUGUCAUAAAUAUGAAGCAAAUCCAAGUGCAACUACAUCAGAAACCUCUGAUAUGUAUGCUACUUCUAUAAUUGAUGGUCAAGUUCGCAUUUCAGGGUCAAAUAAUUAUUUGAAAUCUCUCUUAAUUCAAAUGGGAACGAAAUGCCAAGUCUCUAAUAUUACCGAAGAUGAAAAUUUUCAGGUUUGAAUAUCUCUUCCUCAUAUCUAUUAUUUUAAAAGUAAACUGGAACUUUGGUUCCUAAAACUAUUUUUUGUAACAAAUUUGUCAUCUUUAAUUUUAAUUAGGCACCAAUUUAAUUUUUAGUGUUUUCAAACCCCUGCAUAAGUUUUAUUCAAUUUUAGUUACUAUUUGAUUUGUUUUAGCAUAAAAGGGUCUUUCAGUCCAUGUAGGAACUAAAAUCUGUAUAUUUUACAUCAGUAAUUUGUCAAAUAAGUGUGAUUAACUCCUUGGUUAGUUAUGUACUUUAUUGGUUAAUUCAUACAUAAUUUAAGUUAAAAAUUAAAUUACGAGCUAAGAAAUUUUUAAGAAAAAAAGUAUACCAUUUCUCUUCGGUGUCCAUGCGUCAACUUUACUUUUAAAUCAACUUUGAGCAGGGAUGUUAAAAAGAGUAACAUAAAUAUAAUGAACUUGUUUUUCUUUUGAUCUUCUAACUAACUAUUUGAAUAUUAGCCAUUUAAACAUUUGCUCACUGUAUAGACUGCAGAGGCAUCCUGGGAUUCAUUUGUGCUCCCCUGUGACAACAAUUCUGAUUGGCAAACCUUCCGUUGCAAAGGCUGUUGCAUAAUGUUUGAUCUCCCAACAAUGAAGGGGCGUAACCUGAAGAGUAUGAUGUUGUUCGUCGUCUAUUACUCUUCCCCAGAAAGCAUAGCUUCAGAAGGAUGCCAAGGUGUGUUGAUCAUAAAUUACACAAAGGCAACCAUUCAGGCCUAUAAAAGAGACACACUAACCUCCUUCGAGGAUGAGGAUUGGCAGAGCAUAACAUCAAAUCUAGAGCCUAGUAACAAAGUAGAGGUUAUGGUUGUUUUUGAGGAGGGAUUCGUUGUACAGCAUACAGAAGUAUCGCUCUUAUAUGAUGAACCACUUGACAAAGAAAUGGAACACUGUUAUGUAGUUGAAGAGGAUGAUGUUAUUGUUUCUGUUUAUGACGAUAAGAAUGUCUCUGUCUCUAGUGGUGAUAAUAUUGAUGUGCCAGAAGAUUACAAUGCUAUCGGUCCAAUUCAAGAUAAAAAUAUAAGUGAAGAUAAGCACUGGCAUGCAGUGGAUAAGAAUGCUGUUGUUCCUGGUGAUGAUCAUUCCAUGGCAGCAAAUAAGAAUUACGCUGUGUCUGGUGGCGGUGUUGUGCCAGCAGAUAAGAAUGUGACCUUUUAUGCGGAAGAUGACAAUGUGAGUGAUAAUAAAAACGGGGAUGCGGUGGAAUAUGAUGCUAAUGGUUCUUGUAUAGCAGAUAAGAAUGUUGUUUCCGGUGGGGAUAAAAAUGUAAGUGAUAAUAGAAAUAUAUUUUUUCGUUUUUUCUGUGAAUAAAAUUUUAAUUUACAUUUUGUUGCAAGCAGAAUUUAACAACUUAUGCUGUUCGACAAACUGAAUUGUUCCAACUGCUAUAACAGGAUUUAAGUGUUAUCCAUUUGAAUUAAAUAUACAUAAUAUAUAUUUUUUGUUUCCUGAGUUGCUCUUUUUUUGUUGUGUUUAUUAGAGAUAUCUUAGAAUCUUCACCAAGCUUCCUUCACUUGUUCGUGCUGUUUUGAUCUCGCAGCCUUUCUGGUCUAGUUUGGUUGGCAUUCUGGUUUGGAUCACUUAUCGCCAUUUUAAGAAGAGAAGUCCAAACCUUUUUACAAGGUAAGAACGUGUCUAGUGUUUCUUAUAACAUUGGUGUUGAUUAUUAAGAAUCCAUAGUUAUUGUUGAGGUGAAAGAUUUUAUAUGAGGUAGAUAUUUUUCCAAACAAGAAAGAUUGAAGAUAAUCCCUUCCCUUCCUUGUUCUUCAAAGACGUGCACUUCAAUUAUGGGGCCCUCUAUAUACAAAAACUGGGCUUUCGAACCCUUCUUUCUAUUUUUGAUCCGCGAAAAGACUAAAUUUUAGAAUAUGUUAAUGGAAUUAUAUUUAGAUAAAGGAAUUAUAUGUAAGAGAAUUAGGUCCUAAUAUUUUUAUCAGUGAAAUUAUAUAGCCAAUUAGGCCAAGGAAUGAAGGAAGUUUAUGGGAAUGUAGCUUGUGAAAACUCAAACUUAAUUUGAGAAUUGAAAUUUUGCAGGAAAUUAGGAAUAGGAUCAACUCAUAAUAUUAUAAAAAGAAAAAUAUAAAACAAUUAUAAUGUUUUUGUCAAAAUAAAAGUUUUCAUUAAAUGUUUCUCAACUAUGCUUUUGUGUAUUUAUUUAUCAUAAUCGAUCCUCUAUUAUGUUUAUAAGACGAGUAGAUAACAUCUAUGCUAUAAAGUUUAUUUUAGGUGAAUAUAUGUAUGCUGUUAUGGUAUUAGAAGUUGGAAUAUUGUUACUAGCUAUGUAUGUACUGACAGCUAUAUACUUUGAUGGAAUGUAGAUAUACACGAAGGUGUAAAUGGCUGGUGGAUUGUGCACAAAGGCUUGCUACUUACAAGAAGGGCAGCAAAGCCCAAUGUCAUCCAGUCACAUAGUUAAGGCAGUUAAUGCAGAGGUUUUCUCUUUGCACGGCACUGUUAUGAUAACAGCUCAAUGUGGUAUUUAAGUCACGAUACUCUCCCACCUAAAGGACAAGCCUUUUGGGAUCAAGUUAUAGCAAUUGGGCUUUCAUUGAGAGUUUGAUUCCGUACUGGAAGAGCUACUGUAGGCUGGAUUAAGGUAGAUCACCUAAUACUGUAAAAGAUACAUGAGUGAUCAAAUUUUCUGAAGUUUUUAAAACUUUGAAAAAACUAUUGUAUUUCAUACAAGUUUAAUUUGUACAUACAUUGUUGAAACUUUUGGUCUUCAUCUUUUAAUGUUAGUUUGUGAUUUUAAAGGCUAAUGAUCGACAACUUAACACACACAGACAACGUGCCUCAGCUGAACCAAGUACUCUGUACUCAUGCCUGAAGUUUAGAAUAUCAAGAGGAGGAGGUUGUCCUAUCUGCGAUCACGUCAUUGCACAUAAUGUUGCAUUGUUUUCGAGUGUCAUAAGGAUAUGUCUGUCUUAAGUUUGUUUCAGGACCAUGUUGCAGUUCAGUUAUGAUAAAUUUUAGUUUUAUGUUACAUUAAAAAUUUACAGUUACCGUAACAAAGCUUCUACUGUUGCAGGACCUUGGUUCUCUAAAGACCUUGAUCCGUAGACAGAAAACGAGAGGUCCUUAGAUCACGAUUACAUACAGAAUAUGGCAGUCUCUUUUGCUAAGAGGUGACCUAGAGAUGUACCAAAAGUUUCCACCUACCAUGUGAGGAGAUGUUGAUCCUGUUGGAUAAUGUGUCAUGCUUGCUGCAUCUACCGAACACCAGCAAUUUCAUCUCAGAUCUCAUCUUGUCCAGAAAGGUAUGCAUUUUAACAUAAAUUAAUAACUCAUGCAUAUUCCCAAACUCCAGGAUCUGGCCUUCCUGCAAAGGCAACAUAUGGUGGAUCAGCGAUAAUAGUUUCCUGUAAGUCUCAAGGGGACAACAUUAAAAUCCACAUCAAUAACCUAUGAUGUCAAACUGUAACAUUAUUAACCAACAUAUAUGGUCAUUAAGGGAAGGAAUCAAUGUUAUUGAACAAUUUUAGAAGUCAUGGUUUUGGUGGAGGUAUUUCCUUAAUCCGGCUUCCAGUUUUCCUUACUUUAGUUUGCCAUCAAAUGGUGUAAUAAUAUCUUGUAUUGUCUGAUCAUGUGCGGACCAAUUUACCCACCACCACCACACACAUGUGUUGACCACUGCUACAACCACUUAUAACCACCAGGUCCGUUCUUAAUAUUUUAUGGGUGUUGCAAAGUGCCUUCAAUUUGUGUUUUAGAAAACAGAGAAAUCGUGACACGAUUUCAUAGGCGUGUCACGAUUUUGCAAUGCCGUGAGCAUGUUUUGCAGGGUGUCCAAUCGUGACACGAUUUUGGGGAAAUGUGACACGAUUUUCGGUUUGCUGGGCAAGUUUUCAGGAUAAGGUUGGUCGUACAUUGGGUCGUACGCACCAAACGUGUCACGAUUUGGGAAAUCGUGACACGAUUUUGUCCGGUUCUGAACACAAUAUAUGCAUUCUUUGACCCAUUUGUUGGGUAAGCUUGGUAAAUCUCAUGGAAACCAAAGGAGGGAACUUUUAGGGUUUUAGAUACUAAAGGUUGAGGGUCUUUGGGUGAGGUUCAAAACUUUAAGAUGUGAAUCUUGGAGAACCAAAAGAGGGGGCUCUUGGGGAAAGGGUUGGUGCCUUUUGGAGAAGAUUCAUGGGGUUGGGAAACACAUGAGUGGAGAGUCAUUUCUGAGCAACUUGGGUGAGUCUUGUGAAACCAAAAGAGAAGAUCAUUAGUAAAAUCAAAGGCUAAAGGUUGUUUCUCUUUUUGGGGUUAGAUUCUAGAGUUGGGAAACAAUUGUAAACACCUUGGGAGAGUGAAAAUCAUGAGUGUCUUGUUCACUUGUGAGAUUGAAAAAAUGGGUAGAAAUUAAGGUUGUUCUUUGUGAACUUGUUGAAGCUAAUUUCUUGUAACUCAUUUGUAUCUCUUUGUAAGAACUCAUUGAUAGUGGAUUGGAGAGAUCAAUCUCUCAUCCAGAGUAGGUCAAGUUGGACCGAAUUGGGUGAACAUUUCUUGGUGUUGUUAUCUUUUCUUUACUCUCUUUAUCUUGUUUAUCCUUUUGUUGGAUUGUGGUUUUGCUAUGCACUUGUUGUUGCUUGUGUCUAAUUUUGGUUGUUGGAUGUCAUUGAUACUUGCUCCACACAUCAUAGUUUGUUUAUUGAUGUGAAAUUUGAGUCCGGAAUUCACAACAAUGGGUAUUAGACCAAGUUUGAGAAAAGGGUCCUCUUAUAUAAUAAUCAUAAUUUUUAUUUUUUGAUAAUUAGUUAAUGAGAUAUGCAUUAAUCAUGAUGGUCCUAAUAAUACACAUGUUUUAAAAUCCCAAAUAUAUUGACACUUCAAAAUACCGUGUCAAAUGCAUCGCAUCCUAUAUACUACCUUCGUCCCUAAUUAUAGGAGCCUUUUGCAAAAAUUACGGAGAUUAAGAAAGUUGGUUGUAGUAUUAAAUUUGUAUAUAAUUAAUAUUGUUUUUACAAUUUUAUCUUAAGAGAGAGAGUUAAUUUAUGUUUUCAACAUAAUAUUUAUUGUUGAUUGAAGAAAAAGAUGCAAAAUAAAUAAGGACAUAUUGAUAAAGAAAUAAUUAAUGUACUUGGAAAUACCAAAGGGGUCUUAUAAAAAGGGGACGGAGGUGGUAUUAUUAAUAAAAAAGAAUAACAAAAAAAAAUAUUGGUUGGCCGAACCAAACACAACAAAGCUAAGUAAAACGAUAUAGACAUACCAAGUUUCAUAUAAGUUUUAUUAUCUAAUUUGAUAAUUCAAUUGCUUUGUUACGUCUACAAUUUCUUAAGGAACUUCAUUAUCAUUCAAGUAACAUGAAAACUUUUUAUCAUUUGUCAAUAAAAAAUGAUAUGUUACCUACCAAAAAUCACACAAAGAUUAAAUUUGAUGUCUCAAACAAGAAACUUUAAUGAUUAAAAUCAUAUUAUAUUAAGAAAUCUUAGCUUCAAUUUGAAACACCAAAAAACAUUCUCAAAAUAAAAAACAAAUUUGAUCUCUGAGAAGGAAUAGAUAUUUUACAUUUUACGCGUUGCUUCUAAAUUUUGCGAUUUACCUAAUGAAUUGUUCGGGUGAAAAUGAAAAUGCUAGGUUGCGUGUGUAAAAAUGAUAUGUUGUUUGUUUGUAAAAAAAUAGUGAAUUUUCUAAUGGGCUGAAUUCUAGUAAAUGUUGGGGCCUGUUUUGCACAUAUUGCUAUUUAUACCUAUUUAAACCUAGUAUUACUAUAUACACCCCCUUUUGUAAAGUAUGGCCAUAGGCCACCGCACCCUCGACCUAUACCUUGGGCUGGCCCUAAUAAUCACCAUCGACCACCACACGCGAUCAUUGCAUUACUUAGAUGUCGAACAUCGUCGACCAACACUAUUAUUUUAAAGGUUAAUAGGCUUUUACUCCCCUGCCAUUUGUGGGUGUUUUGCUUUACCCCUAACAAAAAAAAACUUGUAGAUUCCCCCUUGUCAUUAGGAGAUUCUUUGGUUUUGAACCCUGAUGACAUGUGACUGGACAAAUUAGCUUAGGUGGCGUGUUGACUGUGCAUUGAUCAAUGAGGUGGCACAUUGACUUGGUUUUUUUUUUUUUAUUUCUUUUCCAAUUUUUUUUAAUUCCAUUUAAAUUUCUUUAUUAAAAACUUAAUUUAAUGAAUUAAAAACAUUAAAAAAAAACUCUUCUUCUCCACCUCUCCCUUCUCUUUUCCAGAACCAUCUUCUCUUAUCUUUUCUCCCUUCUUCUUCUCUUCACUCUUCUACUUUAUUCAACAAAAACACUCAAUUUUUUUUCUUCAAGAAACUUCAUUCCCUCUUCUCACUUCUCUUUCCUUCGCCUUCUUCUUCCUCCUCCCCACUAAGCCACGACAAUUACCGCCACCACCACCGCCAACACCACAAACCACCACCGGAUUCGGAUUUGAAUGGGUUUGAAUCGGAUUCAAUCAACAACAACAACAUACAAACAACCCAUUUUCUUCUCCAAAUCUCAAACACAAACAUUCCACUUCUUCUCAAACACAAACAUUCAUCUUCUUCUUACAAUAUGGGUUCUUAAUCCUUUUGUUCUACAAAUCACAAACCAAAAAAUAGAAAAGGAUGAACAAAGAAGAAGGAAAAAAAACCCCAGGAAAGCACAAAAAUUCGACAUGGAUCGGUUGUGUUGUUGUGUUUGAAUUUUUUUAAUGAAAUUUUAGAUUUGUGUUGUUAAUGAAAGGAGGGUUAUGAUUUAAUUUGAUGUUGACAACAUUCCUUCCCCAUUUAGAUUUGAUGUUGUUGUUAAUGAAAGGAAGUUCAAGAAGAAGAAGAAAAAGAAGAACAAAAACAGAGAAGAUGGGAGAGAAGAGAAGAGAAUGAUGAAGAGAACAUAAUGAAUAAGAAAGAAAAAAAAAAGAACAUAAAGAGAGAAGGUGGGAGAGAAGAUAAAAAAGAAAUGAGAUUUUUUUUUUUUUUUUAAUUUAUCAUUAAGGGUGUUUUAGGUAUUUCACUUUUUUUAACAUUAUUUUAAAAAUAAAAAAUAAAAAAUAAUGAUGUGUCAGUGUCAUUUCAUCCAUCACUACACAGUCAGCGUGCCACAUCAGCUCAUUAAUCCAGUCAGAUGACAUCCGGGUUGAAAAUCAAAGAAUCUUCAUUUUACAAAGGGGAAUCUCCAAGUAUUUUUUAGUUAGGGGGUAAACCAAAAUACCCUCAAAUGGCAGGGGGUAAACAUCUAUUAACCCUUAUUUUAAUUAUAAGUAGAUAAACAAUUUAAAAUUUUAUAAUAUUUAAAUCAUUUCAACGAAGGUAGUACAAUGCAAACCACGCUUUGAUUUUUUUUUAGGAUAUCACCAUCGACCAACACUAUUAUUUUUAUUAUUUUGCUAGACAUAUUUUUUAUUGAGAGGCUUUUAAUUAUUUUAUGUUUUGAUAUUUUGUACAUCAAGUGGAGUUAUUGUCAGUCGAGAUAAAGAGUCUGAUAUGAUGCUUCAUCAUUUUCCACUUCCACAAGUCUCUUGUCAUAGCUGAAAGUAUCCUCCAUCACCUUUUUUACUUUAUUCUCCCAAAAUUUGGAAUGAAUUUGCACACUCUAAAGAGAUGCAGAAGAAUGGAGGGUUUGGAAGCCGGAACCAAGAUUUGGCUUGAAGAGAGCUUGUCACUUAUCAAACUAGCAUAUCUCAUAGUUACAGGGUGCGACAUAAAAAGAGUUGCAUACAUAGAUUGAUGAGAGGUGUUUUUGUCAAGAGAAGGUAAACAAAACAAACCUGACGCAGUACGGAAGUGUAGGUUAGCAAGCGCUAAAUCUAGAUAGAAAAGAACAAGUUUGCAAGCGACAAACUUGUGAAAAUAGGGUUGCAAGCGACAAACCUAUCAAAAUAAGGGUUUCCGGAAUCCACCAGAAUUGAGAGAAAAUCUCGAAUAGUUUUAGUGAAUCAAAAAGUUGCCUCUUAGGCUACAUAAGUUCUGCUUAUAUAGUGAAAGAAAUAACAAAUUCAUGGGCCGAAAUAAAAUAAAACAAAAUAAUAAUAGAAAGUUCUAGAAAAUUACUAAGAUUUGGCUAAAUAAUAAAUACUGUAAAAUUACUAAGAAACCCUCCUACAUCAGUCUCCUCUACCUCUGAAGAACUCGACCCAAAUUCUCAUCUUGAUAAAGAGCUUCCCAUGAAUAUUGACUCCUCCAAAGAACAUCCACCUGGAUCCCAUUGAGUGAAAUGCCAAGAUUGUUUGGUUUGAAAAAUAUAACAUUCCGUUGAAGAAAUGUAGUAGGAUGCUGAAUAGUUUCCUGAAUUUUAGUCAGAGUGAUCACCGGAAGUAGUGGACCAAAUAUUUCUUCUGUCAUGAUUUCAGCAUCUAGUGGUGGAUGUAACAAUAUUGUAGGCUCAAUAAACAGCUUUUUUUCAUCAAUUGAACCACCAGGAACUAUUGAAGCAGCAAAUAGAAGGUCUUUAAGAAGAUUGCACAAUCUCUCAAAGUGGUGAUUUUUAUUAUUCUUGAAAGUGUCGUUGACUUCAUCAUGUUGUCACCAUAAAAUUUGUUGUAAAAUAUUUACAUAGAAUUAUAUCCAAAUAAUAAUCAACAUAUAAAAACAAGAAAUAAUUAAGUAUUAAAGAAAAUAAAUAAGAGAGAUAUCAAGUAAACUUAUCUGCGCUAUAUAUUAGUCUAUGAUUUGGUCAUCGAUACAGUUCCAUCAUUAUCCUCCAUUGACAAUUCUAUAAAACCUACACAAUAGUAAACCGCUAUAUAACCCGAGGUAUGCUGAUCGUACUGUCCUUAAGGAUUUAUCCAAACACAAGCGCAAAUUCCCCAUAAUUCAACAGGCUCUUCUUGGAUUGAAACCAAGGAUUCAUAACUAUCAAGAAGAAAUUCUUUCAGGAGGAUGUAACCCUGAAUUAUAUGUCAGACUCAUGAAAAUCUAUUCAUGUAUAACUUGAAGCAUCGAAGAGGGGAUUUCAUUUUUUAUGUGCUACUGCUCACUAACAAAAAUAAGGAGAGUUUUCGAUAUUAGGUUUGUAAAUCUUCUACUACUUUUGUCCAGUAAAAAAACGUGUAUUAAUAGGCACACAUAUGUUAUAGGUUGAGAGAAUUAAGGUUUGACUAAACACCGUUAUUUCCACAUUCAUGAGAUAUCAAAGCAAAAACGGUUACAAAACUUUGGAAUUAAAAACAUGUCUUAAAACCAAGUCAAACCUUAUAAUUAAUUAUAAUAUGAUAAUAGUUUUCUAUUUAAAAUAUUUUUCUAUAUUUCUCAAUUAAAAAAAUAUGGGACACAAUAUUUGAAACUUUUGAAAGAAAUUAGAAAAAAAAAAGACUUCCUGGGUUAACAUCCUGGAUAUGAUGCAUUAAACUGGUGUAACAAGUUAUAUGAACCAGUCCUAGAAUGAUAAUACUUAACACACAGUGAAGUUGGUGUAGCAAGCUAUAUGAACUAAAAUCACUUAACGUAUGUUAGCGGUAUAACACUCGCAUCACACCCCCACAUUUCUUGUCGUUGGCGCUGUGGUGCGCGAAUAGGCCAUGCGCGUGCCUGGAAAUUUUCAUGAGUGCUCCAGAGAUUUCGCCGAGAUCUCAUACAAGCGGCCCCACUUGACACUCACAUAGGUGAUUUCAUCAAGUGCAUGAUGCAAAUCAUACACCACCCAUAAGGGAUAUGAAAUUCAUUAAAAGCUUGAUAGACUUAUCCUCUCAGUAAUGCAGUAUCUAACACUUCUCACACACAUCAUAGGAAAGGGACGAAAACAAAAAUUAAUUAACUAAUUUUUGGUGCUAGCAGAACUAAUAAGUGACUUGUUCUUACCCAUAUGAACCUUAUUCAUGGGAUCUCCAAUCACAAAGGUUGGUUUUCCAUCACUUAUUAAUUUCACGUAGCUUAAGUUUCAAUCCCCUCGAUGUACACAAAUUUAUUUCAUCCCAAGGGGUUUUGUUUAGUAGCUACUUUAUACACAAAUGAUGAAGAAAAUUUUCUUUCAUCAUAUAAGAUUGACUAAGACGUCUCUAAGUCAAUCAACCUCAUAUAUUUAUCAAAGUCUAUAACAAUAAACUUGAUCUCAAUAAUUGUAUUUAUACAUGUCUGCUUGAAUGACUUCAAGCGACAUCCCUUAAAAUAAUUCUUCAUUUUGAUUCAUUCUCAUUGGAAUUUAAUUUCAUUUAACAUCAUUGCAUUUCAAUGCAAUGGUACAUCAACUCUAAAUAAUAUUUCACAUAUUGUUAAACUGACUUCUUUGAUAUACGUCAUCAAGUCUACUUAGAUAAAUUCUAAGCGACAAUCCCCACAUUGAAAAAAUAUAAUUCUAUAUGUGGAUUUAUUACUCAGGUCUACUUGAAUAAUUUUCAAGUGACAUUACUCUCACAAUGGAGAAAAUAAAUCCACACAUAGAUAAAUCAAACAUCAAUGUAUUAUUUUAAUACAAUGGAUAAUCCACAAUAUUACACCAAUACUUUAAGGUCUCUCAAUAUAUAACUCAUGAAUUUAACAAGUGCAGCAAUAAUAUAUUCAGGUCUACUUAUAUUAUUUCUAAACGACAACAUCUUAAUUACACUUGUUUCACUAAUGCUUGUAACUUCAUGAGUUUCUCAAUUUUGUUAUCAAUAAUAUAAUUAAAUAAUAUUUCACAAUAAAAUAAACAUACUCAAACUAUGUAUUAAUAUACAAACACAAGAUUCUCAAAGUGCGUAUUAUAUUCCCCACAACAAAAGAUAUUCAAACAAAAUUAAAGUGAGCAUAUCAAUUUAAUUUAUAUCUCAAAAAUUUCAGUUUUGACAAACAUAUUUGAACUCUACACAUUUAACUCUGUUAAGUAUUGUGAGUAAAUAAUAUUAAACUGCCAAAAGAAUAUCAAUAGACAAUAUAAUCACAACACAAAUUCUUACAAUAUGAAUAAUGUAUGCCCCACAAUGAAAUAUAUUUCACAAAAAAAAUAAAGUGGACAUCAAUUUAAUUUAUACCCACAAAAUUCAAGUUUUAUAUUUUAUAUAUAGGGUCAUAAAAAUAUUCAGUUAACAAGCAUAUCAAACCUGUACACAUUCUGAUUAGAAUUUAUAUCACUUCUCACCUACUCAUGCUUAAUGGAUCCAUUCUAUUAGGCAAACAUCACAUGAAAUAUUUUCAAAGGAAAAUUACUUGCACACAAUAUAGACAUGUACACAACCAAUAUAUAUCCGACAUAUAAUACUUUAUAGCAAUUUCAACAAGGAUAAAUCAGCAUAUCUAUAUUUUGCUUCAGUCUUCGAAAUGAAAAAAGGUGAUCAUUCUCAAAAUAAGACUUUAUUUCCAAUUAAGCAAGUCAUGAAUUUUCAACAUGACUAAGAAUAUCAUGCAAGCUCAAACAGCCAGGAUCAAAAUAAAGUCAUUAUAAAAAUUGAACUCAAUAACAAAGGUAGUGGUCUAAAUGAAAGCCGGAGCACAAUUUUGAAAACCAUACAGUCAUUUUUUUUUCUUAUGGAAAAACUAAAUUCACUAGAAAGAAAUUCACAAACAUACUUAACCAUAAUCACUCCAUAUAUCUCAAACUAAGUUUAGGUCUCAUGUAUAAAUUACAGGAAUCCCUAAGAACAAAACAGAAUUUGAAAUUCAUGAUAUUCAUUUAUCAAAUAAAAACUCAUUUUCAUGCUCAAACCAAUUAAAAAGAGAUAAUCUCCAAGGCCAUAAAAGAAUCAUAGUUGUAGGAGGUAUAAAACAUUUAUUCUCAUAGUUGAAUUUUGAAGCCAAAUUAUAAUUGAAAUUAGAAUCCAAAUAUUAUCUCAACAGUGAACAAUAAAAUGAAGUUAUGAAUUCACAACCAUAAUGCUUUUUCAAUAAACAUGUAUGACUCUAUUAUAAAUAUGUCACCAAGCCACCUUAAUCAAUAAUUUCUAUUAAAAAAAAUAAAAAAUUCACAUCAAUUUUAGGAACCAAUUAAGUCUAACCUCAUUCUCCAAGAGACCAACAAUAAUCCACGCUAUUAUAGCAUAUCUUCAUCAAGUAACUCUUUGUUGUUAUAACCGCUUUGGCUCCUAUAACAUGAAUAUGUUGCGGAAUUUAGAUAUCUUACAUUUGUUCUUCUUUGUACAAAUCAUGUUGAUUGAUCUGGAAUUAGGGCACCAAUAAUUCCAUCGGAUAAAUCCUUAAGAUUGUUGUAAAAUAUUUACAUAGAAUUAUAUCCAAAUAAUAAUCAACAUAUAAAAACAAGAAAUAAUUAAGUAUUAAAGAGAAUAAACAAGAGAGAUAUCAAGUAAACUUAUAUGUGCUAUAUAUUAGUCUAUGAUUUGGCCAUCGAUACAGUUCCAUCAUUAUCCUCCACUGACAAUUCUAUAAAACCUACACAAUAGUAAACCGCUAUAUAACCUGAGGCAUGCUGAUUGCACUGUGCUGAUCGCACUGUCCUUAAGGAUUUAUCCGCCUCACAAGCGCAAAUCCCCCAGGAUUCAACAGGCUCUUCUUGGAUUGAAACCAAGGAUUCAGAACUAUCAAGAAGAAAUUCUUUCAGGAGGAUGUAACCCUGAAUUAUAUGUCAGACUCAAGAAAAUCUAUUCAUGUAUAACUUGAAGCAUCGAAGAGGGGAUUUCAUUUUUUAUGUGCUACUGCUCACUAACAAAAAUAAGGAGAGUUUUCGAUAUUAGGUUUGUAAAACUUCUACUACUUUUGUCCAGUAAAAAAACGUGUAUUAAUAGGCACACAUAUGUUAUAGGUUGAGAGAAUUAAGGUUUGACUAAACACCGUUAUUUCCACAUUCAUGAGAUAUCAAAGCAAAAACGGUUACAAAACUUUGGAAUUAAAAACAUGUCUUAAAACCAAGUCAAACCUUAUAAUUAAUUAUAAUAUGAUAAUAGUUUUCUAUUUAAAAUAUUUUUCUAUAUUUCUCAAUUAAAAAAUAUGGGACACAAAAUAUUUGAAACUUUUGAAAUACACUCAAAAUUUACAACAAAAUUUUCUCAUGAACUUCUUCAAUAACUCUAACAAUUCAGACGAGUGCUUCUUCUCCUUUACAAGCAAAUAAUCGAUUGCUAUACAUGCUUGUCCAGUACAUACUCCCCACUUUGCUCCUACUAUUCUUUUCACUGCCAUCUUAAAAUAUGAAGGAUUGGAAAGAUAAUCAAAUAUAGCAGGGCAUUUUCCACCUAGCUCUAGAGUAACAGGAGUUAAAUAUCUUGCAGCAGAAGACAUGACUAUGCUUGCCACACGUGGACUUCCAGUGAAGAAUAUUUUGCCCCACUUUUGUAGCAGUAGUUGUUCACAGACAUCUCCUCUUUCUGCUGCAAAGCAUAGACUUACUGGUGAGGCCAUCCUACCGCGAGCUAACAUGUUCUCCGUCUCUACCAAAACUCCCUCCAUAAUUGGAUCGUUGAGUUCUUUCAAAUGCUGAAGAAGAUUAUUCAUGAUUAUGGUUCCGUCGCCAACAUUAGCUUGAACAAUAUUCAAGGUGGUACGGUUCAGCUUCAGCAGUUGACUUAACUGUUUGGUUCUAACUGUAAAAGGUUGCAGCUCAUAGCAAAGUACACCAAUGUCGCCACAAAGUUCUCCUGUUUUCGCCUCACCGACAAUCUGUUCAACCCCGCCUUUGAGAACUACCAAGUAGUUAGCAGACAUAAGACACCAAGAACUAAGAAAAACUUUGAGGGUUGUAUAAGGAGGGAAAUGUGGGGAUAUAAGCUUGUGAUGUGAGAAUAGGGAGCGAUUGCUCUUUUGCUGCACUGUGUUGGAUUUAACAGAUAACAAGGGUAGAGAAAAAUUCUUUCCCCAUGGAAGUAUUACAUCGGAUGACAUAUAAGAGUUAUUGAGUAUAUAAAUGAGGAAGUUUGGAAACGAAAUAAUGGUCAGAUUUCUUUACAAGAGCAACCACUUUGUUGUAUUGAAGGAGCAACUGAAAUAAAGAUACCUACAGUUAAAUCAGGAAGCGUUAUUUUAAAAGACAGGCUUCAACAUAAAAGGGUACUUCUUCUACUUGACAAUGUUUAUAGAUUGGAGCAGCUACAGGCUUUGUGUGGAAGUCAUGAAUGGUUUGGUGAAGGCAGCAAAAUAUUCAUCAUGACCACAGAUAGACAUCUUCUCAAGGAGCAUGGAGUUGACCAUGUAUAUAGAGUGAAAGAAUUGGAAGAAAGUGAAUCAUAUGAGCUUUUUAAUUGGGCUGCAUUCAACCAAGCAUGUUUGCCAGAAGGUUUUGCUGAACUUUCUAGACAGGUAGUUGCUUAUUGUGGGGGAUUGCCUCUUGCUCUUGAACUCCUUGGGUUGUAUUUGCAUGGAAGUGAAGUACUUAAGUGGAAAGGUGUGUUGAGGAGCCUCGAAAGAUUUUCCAUUCCAUCUGGACAACUAGUAGAAGCCCUAGAAAAAAGUUUUCGAUAUUUGAGUGAUGAAGAGAAACAAAUAUUCCUCGAUAUAGCAUGUUUCCUUAUCGGGAUGAACCAAAAUGAUGUACUACAAACAUUAAACAUGUCAAUGCAAUGCACAACUCUUCAAAUAAGUCUCCUUGAAGACAAGAGCUUUGUAACCAUUGAUGAGAAUAACAAGCUUCAAAUGCAUGUUAUGCAACAAGCCAUGGCAAGAGAUAUCGUUACAAGGCAAUCAAGUAAGAAGACUGAUCAGAUGAGUGGUAGUAUAUAUAUGAUUUUGAGACUACUUCUGCUUUAUGUAUCAUCCAUGUAUGAUUUUUUGGUUCCAAAAUCUUAAAAAAUUGUGGUUUGAUCUAACACAACCCCACAAAACCUGUUUGUGAGGUGAGGAUUGCCCCCAAUUAUAAACACUUAUUCAGGGUAUCUCCCAAGCAAUAUGGGGCUCUUUGACAGACCCCCUCACGCUAGCACUACUAGGCUUGUGAGGUGAGGAUUGUCACCAAUAUUUUUUUUUUUUUUUGAAGAAGCUAAACUAACCCCCUCAAAUGGGCACCAGAGAGAAUCGAACCUGAGAUCUUGAGGAGGAAGGAUUGUCUCCAAUUAUAAACACUUCUUCAGGCCAUCUCCCAACCAAUGCGGGACUCUUUAACACACACCCUCACGCCUAGCACUAUUGGGCUUGGUGCAUGGAUAUAAAUGGUGGGUGACCCGAUAGAAGAAUCCUUAUAGCAGGUGGCCCAACAGAUCUUGUAGAGGUUCUAAUACCAUCUUAGAAAUCGUGGUUGGGCCUAAAACAAUCCCACAAAACCGGUUUGUGAGGUAAGGAUUGCCCCCACUUGAAAACACUUGUUCAGACCAUCUCCCAACCAAUGUGAUAUAAAUGGUGGGCGGCCUGAUAGCGGAAUCCUGAUAAAAGGUGUCCCAAUGGAUUUUGGAGAUACUCUGAUACCAUCUUUAUUCAGAAAAUCUCUCAACUGAUGUGGCACUCUUUAACACAAAAUAUAUGACUGCAAAGGAAGCAAAGUGAACAUUAAUGAAUCAGUUUGUUACAUUUAAUUUCAUAACCAUCACAAGAACCCUCAGAAGUUAAUUAGUAUGAAUGUGAUUGGAAAUUGGUAACAAAAUAAAUUGUGGGUAACUAACUUCAUAGUUGAUUAUGUAUAUUUUGCAUCAAGAAGUUUAACAACCAUAUAUCUAAGCUCUUUUUCCUUUGAUGUUUCAGUCGAAGAUGUACAAUGUGUUCUUGAGUUUCAGAGGGGAAGAAAGUCGUGCAAAGUUCAUGUCACACCUCUAUUCUUCUCUUCAAAAUGCGGGUAUUUAUACUUUCAGAGAUGAUGAUGAGAUUCAACGAGGUGAUCAGAUCUCAAUCUCCACUUACGCUCAGGAAAUGGCACAAACCUGGUGGAUAUUUUAUUUAUUUUCUGGAAUAUAUGAGCGUAAGUGGAGAAGAGUGGGUAUUUUAUUUAUUUUUUAUAUCUCCACUUACUCAUAGAUUCCAGGUUAUAUUAUUUAUUUUUUAUAUUUUCUGUAUUGUUUGUGAUACUUUAACCUUCCUAAGCUUUGGUGGUGUAAUAGUAUCUGUGUCCAUUUUAAAAAAUACUUUCUCUUAAAAUUACCAUUUACUUUUUUUAUUACAAAAUCUAAAAUUUGAUAGCAAUGAAAUGUUGUAUAAUUAGUCAUAAGAAUUAUCCAAAAAUCAUAAUCAUCAAAUAUAAAUAGAAGCAUCAAUAAAAUAUAGCUAAAAGAGAGAACAAUAAACUUAUAUGUGGUGAUUUGAUGUCGGCAAAUUCGAAUUAAACAAACACGAAACUAUGAAAGUGAUAACCUACCAAGAAAUAAACCAUUACAUAAACCUGAGGCGUGACAUAGUCACUGUUCUUGAGGAUUUUAUCCGCCUCAUAAGCGCAUAUCCUCCCAGGAUACAACAGUUCUUCCCCGUUAUGAAUCAUAACCGGAGGUGACAGAACAGCUCAAAUAUAUCUCAGAUAUCAGGAGAUGUAACCCAUGAAUUCAAUAUAUUGGAUGAGAGAAAAUAAGUAUGUGUAGAGAAAAUAGGAAGUGAGAGAAUAUAUGUAAAUAUACUAUGUGCAGGUUCAUCUAUAUAUUUUCCAAGUAUGAUUUUUCCUACUGUACAAAACAAAGGACCGUGAGUUGUCUUCUUCUUGUGUGCAAGCUUGGUAAUUUCCUUAUAAUUAGGAAGUAAUUAACACAUGGUCAAAGUAAAAAUAGAAGAAAAUGUUGGUAGACAAAAACUAGGCAUGAACUCCUUCUUAAUUUUGUUUCGGUUGCAAAAUAAAAGGUCAUGUGACUAAAUUACCGUUUCAAAUGGGAGUAUAAAUGCUUAGACUCAAUCAAGUCAAAAAGAUGUGGCUAAAAGAAUUAGACCAAGUCAAAUAUCAUUAUUAAUCACAAUUAAAAUAAUAAUAAUUUUCUGUUAACUAAAUAUUAUAAAACUUUUGAAAUAUACAAAAAUUACAACAAUCCCCCAAAUAUUUCAAAAGUUAAAAUAAAAAGUUAAAAAGAGUUUUUCUGGGUAAACGUCGUAGAUGUAAUGCAUCGGAACGGUGUAGCAAGCUAUGGAAUCCGUCCUAGACUAAUGAGGCUUAACACACAGUGAAUUGGUUUAGCAAGCUAUGGAACCCAAGACACUUGGUGUAUGCUAGAGGUCUCACAGUCACAUUACACCCCCACAAUUCUUGCUGUUACGCGGUUGUCCGCUAAUAGGCCUUGCGCGUGCCUGGUAUUCAUGAGUGCUCUAGAGACCUGCCACGGUCUCAUACAAGCGGCCCCACUUGACACUCAUAUAGGUGAUUCCAUCUAGCGUAUGCUACUACCAUACACCACCCAUAAGGGCUUAUGGUAAUCAUUAAAAGCUUUCGAAGCUUACCCAUCAAUUUUAUAUUUAUUUAGCACUUCUCAUAUCUAUUUUCAUACGCCAUAGGAAAGAGACAAUAAUAUUUUAGUGCUAACAGAACUAGCAAGUAACUUGUUUUUACCCAUUGAACCUUCUUCAUGGGAUCUCCAAUCACAAAGGUUGGGUUCCCGUUACUUGUCGUUUUCUAGUGGCAAAGUCUCAUUUUCCUAACUUUCUUCCCAAGGGGUUUUAUAUACGGAUCCGCAAAAUUCACAAUCAUUGACUAAGACGUCUCUAAAUUCACAAUCAAUUACCUCUUAUUUCAUCAAGUUUAUAAAAAUAAACUCGGAUUACACAAUAAAUUUAUACACGUCUACUUGGUUGGCUACCAAGCGACAACUUGUUCAUCAAUGAGAUAAAUCUACAUAUAGAUUUUAUUUUCAUUGGAUUCAUAAUCAUUGUGUAUAUACAAUGACUCAUUCACUCUAAACAAUAUUGUAUAUGUUGUCAAUCCAACGAUAUACUUUAUCAGGUAUACUUAGUUAAAUACUAAGCGACAACAUUUUAAAAAGGGGAAAUUAAAUUCAUGUGUGAAUUUAUCAAACAGGUCUACUUGAACAAUUUUCAAGUGACAACACCCCCACAUUGAGAAAGAUAAGUGGAUUUCUAUUAAGUUGAAUGAUUUUCAGGUCUUUCAAGUGACAAUGCCAACACAAUUUUCUUUAAUCAAAUAGCAUUAAAAUCAUAACAUAAUGUAUUUAUCAGAAUCACAAACAGACAUAACCAUAAUCAGUCCAUACAUCUCAAUUUAAAUUAAGGUCUUAUGUUCCAAUUCCAAAUCUGUUAGAUCAAAACCUCAAAGAAUAACACUGUAUGAUAUAAAAGGUGGUACAACAAACCACUAAUAUGAAAACAUGUGCAUAUAAGACACGUUUUGCAGUGCUAGAAUACUGAAGUAACAAACUCAUAUUCUAGAAAAUAAACAAUGAAUUCUUAAGUUGAAUAAAUUUUUGAAAUAUGACACACCAUCAAUUGAAGUUCUCAGGAAAAUCAAAUUAUCGUUGAGCUACUAAUAAUUGACAAUUAAAAGGGAGAGUUGCUUUUUGAUUUUGAUACUGAUCAAGGCAAGCCAAUUAACGUUCCCUACCAUUCUACAAGAAUGGUUUUAUAGACAAACUGUAACUGAUGAGUCAACCAAUAAUAAGGGCUCAAAUUAGCUAAUAAAUAGAAAUGUUAAGAAUUUCAUUUGACUCAGCACAUCUGCAACGUUUCUUUUGGAAGGAUUGUUAAAUGAAAAUACCGAAAAUUAUCUUUUAUAAAGGCAUAAUUGAAACGGUCAUACAGUGGGAUUGAGCAAAAUCUCAUUGUUGAUAAUGAUCAUAACUCUUGAACCAAAAUAACAUCCUUUUGAAAAAUCUAAUCAUCACAAAUUAUGCUUGAUAAAUUUCUCCAAUCAAAAUCAAUUUUAUAGAGAACUAACAAGUAUCGUAUUAUAUUAAAAGAGAUAGAUUUAUAAACACUUUGGCCACAAAGCAUAGACAAUAGCAGUUUUUGAAAUUCUGAAUCUUAAAUUGCAGAACUUUCUAAAGUGUUCAAAUUACAUAACCAAUUUUAUCUACUGCCCAAAAAUACAAGUUUGAUAGAUAUAAAUUACUUAAACUCACGAAAUAUAACAAUGCACACAUACAAAUGAUUCAUGCACAUAUUUUGCACAAACAAUUUAGCGCAUCAACAUAGAGGCUUUGAUAUACAUACUUUAAAACUCAAAGCAAUAUAUAUAUAUAUAUAUAUAUAUAUAUAUAUAUAUAUAUAUAUAUACACAGCUAAUUAGAAUUGAGUUUUAUAUCUCCUCCAUAAGCAAGAGACUAAUCACCUUAAUUAGUUCUAAAUUUCACAAUAAAAAUUUACUCACCAAGUAACAAAAAUCAUACAUUGACAACCGAUUUACACAUAUUGCAAGCACAAACAACAAUGAUAAGUUAGUCUACAAAGUGAGAAUAAAGACCACAAUAUUUCUUUCAAAUAAUGAUAAGAUGAAUUAAUCUACCAUUUUAAAGUUCUUUAAGAUGCUACUAAUUUCUCAAAUUCCCUUAUAUUCGUCUAGCUCAAUUCAAAUAAGCCAAUAUCACAAGAAUCAUGUAAUUAAUAUUCUAUAUUUGAUGACUCCAACCAGCAUGUGAAGAUAAACAACAACCAAAAGUAAUUGUACGAUAAUAUAAUAUAAACCGGAGCUUAAAUGAUGAAAAUAGUAACCUGGACUUUUCCUUGGCUCAAAAUAGCUACUAAUAAUAUUUAGCCUCAAAUUGAUCAUGCCACUUCAAGACAUUAACUAUAGUUGCGUUCCUGCAAUUCCUUUGACAUCGUAAUUGGUACUCUAAAGCCAUCUAAUUUAGUUUGUGUACUUUGAUCAAAACAACCGCGAAGUUGUAUCUGAGAAUUAGGGCACAAACAAAUUCCAUUCGAGAUAAAAUCCUCAAGAUUGUUGUAUAAUUAGUCGUAAGAAUUAUCCAAAAAUCAUAAUCAUCAUAUAUAAAUAGAAGCAUCAAUAAAAUAUAGCUAAAAGAGAGAACAAUAAACUUAUCUGUGGUGAUUUGAUGUCGGCAAAUUCGAAUUAAACAAACACGAAACCAUGAAAGUGAUAACCUACCAAGAAAUAAACCAUUACAUAAACCUGAGGCGUGACAUAGUCACCGUCCUUGAGGAUUUUAUCCGCCUCGCAUAUCCUCCCAGGAUACAACAGUUCUUCCCCGUUAUGAAUCAUAACCGGAGGUGACAGAACAGCUCAAAUAUAUCUCAGAUAUCAGGAGAUGUAACCCAUGAAUUCAAUAUCUUGGAUGAGAGAAAAUAAGAAUGUGUAGAGAAAAUAGGAAGUGAGAGAGUAUAUGUAAAUAUACUAUGUGCAGGUUCAUCUAUAUAUUUUUCAAGUAUGAUUUUUCCUACUGUACAAAACAAAAGGACCGUGAGUUUUCUUCUUCUUGUGUGCAAGCUUGGUAGUUUCCUUAUAAUUAGGAAGUAAUUAACACAUGAACUAGGCAUGAACUCCUUCUUAAUUUUGUUUCGGUUGCAAAAUAAAAGGUCAUGUGACUAAAUUACCGUUUCAAAUGGGAGUAUAAAUGCUUAGACUUAAUCAAGUCAAAAAGAUGUGGCUAAAAGAAUUAGACCAAGUCAAAUAUCAUUAUUAAUCACAAUUAAAAUAAUAAUAAUUUUCUGUUAACUAAAUAUUGUAAAACUUUUGAAAUAUACAAAAAUUACAACAUGAAAAUCUAUUUUGAAGAAUACCGAGGUUUGUGCCAUGGUGGUCAGUGUUGAAACAAUGCCAUGUUGAAGAGAAAGAUGGGGAGAGAUUUGGUGGAGAGGGUGUAAGUUCACAUCUGGUCGGAUUGUUUAUAUAGUGGUGGAAAAUUUUUAGGCUUAAUGUUAUUCCUCUAUUAUUUCACAACUACCUAUAUCAGAACAUGCAUGUGAGUUUGUAGACUAACUAGUGACUCAUAUAUUACUCUAAAUUGAUUCUUGGAUUAAUUAAUAGCUACGAAUAAAUGGCAACAUAUUACUACUUACCUAAAGUUUGUGCUUCUCUUAUAUUCCUAUUUCAAUGCAUUUUUUCUUUUAGAAGUGCUGAUAUCAAGAAUAUUGUUGAACGUGUCACCCGUUUCCUAGAUAAGACAGAGUUAUUCGUUACUGAACAUCCGGUGGGUGUAGAAUCUUGUGUGGAAGCUUCCACUAAGCUACUUAACAUCCAGAAUUCAGAAGAUGUUUUACUUCUAGGGAUAUGGGGAAUGGGGGGUAUGGGCAAGACAAACAUUGCCAAAGCCAUUUACAAUCAAAUUGGGAGCAAAUUUGAGGGAAGGAGCUUCCUUCUGAUUAUAAGGGAAUUUUGGGAGACAUGUAUUAAUCUAGUUUCUCUACAGCAACAGGUACUUUGUGAUGUCUACAAAACAACGACAUUCAAGAUACGUGACAUAGAAUCAAGGAAAAAUAUACUGAAGGAAAGACUUGCCCAGAGCAAGGUACUUCUUGUGCUUGAUGAUGUGAAUGAAUUGGAUCAGCUAAAGGCUUUGUGUGGAAGCUAUGAAUGGUUUGGUCCAAGGGAGUAGAGUAAUCAUCACCACAAGAGAUAUGCAUCUUCUUAGAUCGUGUAGAGUUGAUCGAGUGUAUGCAAUACAAGAAAUGGAUGAAAGUGAAUCUCUAGAGCUUUUCAGUUGGCAUGCGUUCAAGCUACCAAUUCCAGUAGAAGAUUUUGCUGCACAUUCAGAAGAUGUGAUUGUUUACUCUGGGAGAUUGCCGCCACUAGCACUUGAAGUUCUGGGGUGCUAUUUGUCUGACUGUGAAAUAACAGAGUGGCAGAAUGAUAGCGAUUUUCGCAAGUGUACGAAAUCGUUCAAGUAGUAAAUUUUAAACGUUAAGACCGAGUGUCGAACUCAAGAAUCGCGUUAUACUGUCGAAUGAUACUUGUUACUUAAUUGAACAAAAAGGUACGAGAUUUGUUUGAUAGCAAUAAUGUAAAUUAAACAGAAGAAAAUUUGUUUCAACUUUAUAAUAAGAAAAUUGUUGAGGAUGAGGUUCGCUAGAUGACUAUCUUAAGUUAGUAACUCAAAUAUAACUAUUGAAUCAACUUAUCGAAUUAUUACCGAAUUCUCUAAUUUAUUCUUGCCCUAAUUCCUUAGUGACAAAACCAUUAAUUCUAAAACAACUCCUAAUUCCUUAGUGAAUUUAAGAUUAGAAUUAAGCAUGAAUGAACAAGAAUUCUCAAGUGGUUUCAAGGGUUUGCAUCUAUUCCUAGAUUACAAAGGCAAGAAUUUCUUAUCUCAAAGCGUUUAUAAAUUCAACUUCCGUUUCACAAAAUAAACCGUAAAUCAAUUUAAAGGUGAUCAAUCAAUAAAAGCAUUAAGCAUGGAGAUAAGAAAAACAAUUCAAUAAGUUUCAUCAAUAAUCAUAAUCCAAUCACAUGACAAAUGUAUUCAUCUAGGUCUACUCAUCCCCAACAACGGAGGGUUUAGUUACUCAUAGCAAAUAAACAAGAGAAAGAUAUUAAAGAAGAAUUACAAGAACAAUCCAUGAACGAUUCUUGAUAAAUCUCCUUCAAUGGUGUUGAAAGCCGCCUCCUUUGUGUCUUGUCUGCUAGGUCACAGGUUUCUCCACUCAAAAUUGAUUCAAAGCCCCAUCCCAAUUUGAUUAAAAACGUAUUUAUAGCAUAAUAGGCCCAACACGGGGCACUUUGACCCAACUAGGGUGCCUAGCGCCGGUGCACAGCUUGAGAAACACGAACAAUCUCAGCGCUGCACUGCUGCAUGGGCGCCUAGUGCCCACUUCCAAAGAGCUGGCGCCUCUGAAGUGGUCUGCUAGCGCCUAGCGCCCUUCUUCUCGUGUCUGGCGCCUUUGAAGCAUGGUUCUGGCGCCUAUCACCUGCUGGCCAGCUAGAAUCCAUCAGCAAACUUCAAGAAAACAUGUAUCCGUCCACUUGGAAGCUUUCUCGUGACCUGUCUUUUAUUCGUCUCCAUUCCUACAUAACCAAAGAUACUCGGAGCAAGUCAAAUGUUCAAAAAUCAUGCAAUAAAUUGCAGAGGAGAUCAGCAUAGUAAAACAAUUAAAAACACAAAAUAAGGAGAAAUAUGUUAUGCAAUCACUCAAAAGAAACUUGAUCUAGAGGUAAAAUUGAAGGUAAUAACCUACAUUUUUGUCGGUUAUCACAGAAUGUUUUGGAAAAACUCAAAUGUAUCCCCCAUGAUCAAGUACAAAAGAAGCUGAAAGUAAGCUUCGAUGGUUUAAAAGAUGUUACAGAGAAACAAAUAUUCCUUGAUAUAGCUUGCUUCUUUAUUGGGAUGGACCGAAAUGAUGCAAUACAAAUAUUAAAUGGGUGUCAAUUUUUUGCUGAUAUUGGAAUUAAAGUCCUUUUAGAGCGAAGCCUUCUAACUGUUGACAAUAGGAACAAGCUUAGAAUGCAUGAUUUAUUGAGAGACAUGGGAAGACAAAUAAUAUAUGAGGAAUCACCAUUUGAUCCUGAGAACCGCAGUAGGUUGUGGCGCCAUGAAGAAGUAUUUGAUAUAUUAUCAAAGCAGAAGGUAAUUACUAACUUCAUUUGUGGUUUAUAUGUUAUUGAAAAGUACAACAGUGAAUGAAAAUAAUUGAACACUCAUGAAUCAAUUCUUAAUAUUCAUUUGUAUUCUUAAUUAUCAGAUGAAAUGUGAUAAUUAGUUUUGUUCACGAUCGUUUUAGUUUUUGCUAAUUAUAAAGAUCUUGAAUGUCAAAAUUAUAGACGGAAUUACAAACAAAAAAUAAAUUUAGCUAUUCAUUUUCUGUUUCGCUACUUUUUCAUCUCAGGGAACAGAAGCUGUCAAGGGUCUGGCUUUGGAGUUUCCAAGAAAUAAUAAAGUUUGUCUGAAUACCAAAGCAUCUAAGAAGAUGAAUAAACUCAGGUUGCUUCAACUUUCCGGGGUUCAGCUUAAUGGAGAUUUUAAAUACCUUUCAGGAGAACUUAGGUGGCUGUACUGGCAUGGAUUUCCGUCAACUUACACUCCUGCAGAAUUUCAACAAGGAAGCCUAGUUGCUAUCACAUUAAAAUACAGUAAUCUAAAACAAAUAUGGAAGAAGAGCCAG
rnacentral:lncRNA from 1 species